GAAUUUUAUAUAAAUUUAAUAAAAUAUUUAGUAAUUAAGUUUAUUAGGUUUAUAUUUUAUUGGGAGGAUAGUUAAAUUAAAUAAACUUUAAAAAUAAAAAUCCAUUAAUUUAUGAAGUAGAAGUUAAAGAAUGAUAAAAAAUUUAAAUAGAAUUAAUUACCUUAGGGAUAACAGCGUUAUAUUUUUAGAGAGAUCUUAUUGAUAAAAAUGAUUGC
rnacentral:rRNA from 1 species